UACGAAGGGUGCAAACGUUGCUCGGAAUCAUUGGGCGUAAAGCGCACGUAGGCGGCCUUGUAAGUCGGAUGUGAAAUCCCACGGCUCAACCGUGGACGUGCAUUCGAAACUGCUCGGCUCGAGUAUGGAAGAGGGUCGCGGAAUUCCCGGUGUAGAGGUGAAAUUCGUAGAUAUCGGGAGGAACACCAGUGGCGAAGGCGGCGACCUGGGCCAAUACUGACGCUGAGGAGCGAAAGCGUGGGGAGCGAACAGG
rnacentral:rRNA from 1 species